UACGUAGGGGGCAAGCGUUGUCCGGAUUUAUUGGGCGUAAAGAGCGUGUAGGCGGCCUUACAGGUCAGCUGUGAAAACUCGAGGCUCAACCUCGAGACGUCGGUUGAAACCGUAAGGCUAGAGUCCGGAAGAGGAGAGUGGAAUUCCCGGUGUAGCGGUGAAAUGCGUAGAUAUCAGGAGGAACACCGGUGGCGAAGGCGGCCCUCUGGACGGUGACUGACGCUGACAGCGCGAAAGCCAGGGGAGCAAACGGG
rnacentral:rRNA from 1 species